AACUCCGUCACUCUCUCUCUCCGCCUCUCGACUUCGACUCGACCACACCUCGGCGACCUCGCUCAGACAACCUCACCACCCUCCUCGACCUCACCUCUGACAACCUCCUCACCUCAGAAUCCGGCCACACCCACAUCACACAGACCCUCUGAUCUCUCUCUCGACUUCGUACCUCUCUCUCUCCGUCACUCUCUCUCUCUGUCGCUCUCUCUCUGUCAUGCUCCAUAAACAACCCAAUUCCACGCCAUAAGUCCCACACAAACGAGACUGCCUUUGUGUCCAUGAAUCGUUGAAGGGAUUUUGCUUAUCUGAGUGAUUGUUUGGCAUCAAUUGCAUCUGUGCUGCUGUUAUAAUGGUAUUUGGUUACAAUUUGAAGAAUCAAGUUACCAUGGCCUCUUUUGGUGACAACGAGUCGAUGAUACUUUGUGAUUGAACAUGUUCGAAAGUGUUUAGUUUCGGAAUAUUUUGGAGCUUUGAAAUCUAGUAUUCAAGAUAAUGACUACUUUUUGUUUUUAGAAGCUUUGCUUUUUAAUCAUAUGGAUUAUAAUUAAAGACUUGCUUGGAUGUAGCAGAAAAAUAUCUUUCGUAAACUAUUAUUUCAAUU
rnacentral:sRNA from 1 species